UACGUAGGGCGCAAGCGUUGUCCGGAAUUAUUGGGCGUAAAGAGCUCGUAGGCGGUCUGUUGCGUCCGCUGUGAAAACCCGGGGCUUAACCCUGGGCUGGCAGUGGAUACGGACAGACUAGAGGUAGGUAGGGGAGAAUGGAAUUCCCGGUGUAGCGGUGAAAUGCGCAGAUAUCGGGAGGAACACCGGUGGCGAAGGCGGUUCUCUGGGCCUUACCUGACGCUGAGGAGCGAAAGCGUGGGGAGCGAACAGG
rnacentral:rRNA from 1 species